UACGGAGGGUGCGAGCGUUGUCCGGAAUCACUGGGCGUAAAGGGCGCGUAGGCGGCUCGGUAAGUAGGGGGUGAAAUCCUGCGGCUUAACCGCAGGGCUGCCUUCUAAACUGUCGAGCUCGAGCACGGUAGAGGCAGAUGGAAUUCCCGGUGUAGCGGUGGAAUGCGUAGAGAUCGGGAAGAACAUCGGUGGCGAAGGCGGUCUGCUGGGCCGUUGCUGACGCUGAGGCGCGACAGCGUGGGGAGCAAACAGG
rnacentral:rRNA from 1 species